UUAUGUGGUUAAUGAAAAUCGGCCCCCUGGUUCCCUUUCUUAUCGUUCAUUAUAUAACAAGGGUCUCGAAUCCACCAACAUUAAUGCCUUCAGGUAGCAUGGGUGGGUUUAUAGACCAGUUGCCUUCACCC
rnacentral:lncRNA from 1 species